AUUGCACGCUGGCGGCAGGCCUAACACAUGCAAGUCGAACGAGUGGCGGAGGGGUGUGUAAUGUCUGUGAAAGUGCCUGAUGGAGGGGGAUAACUACGGGAAACGGUCUCUAAUACCGCAUACCAUCAGAUGUGCCCAGAUGGGAGUAGCUAGUGGGUGGGGUAACGGCUCACCAAGGCGACGAUCCCUAGCUGGUCUGAGAGGAUGACCACGCACACUGGAAAUGAGUCACGGUCCCAACGCGUACGGGAGUGAGCAGUGGGGCAGAUGGAACAAUGGGCGAAGGCCAGAUGCAUCCAUGCCGGGUGUGGGAAGAAGGACUUCAGGUUUCAAAGCACUUACGGCGGGGAGGCGUUAGCCGCAGAACAAGACCCGGCUGACUCCGUGCCAGCAGCCGCGGUAAUAC
rnacentral:rRNA from 1 species